rnacentral:rRNA from 1 species
GAUGGACCCGCGGUGCAUUAGCUAGUUGGCGAGGUAACGGCUCACCAAGGCAACGAUGCAUAGCCGACCUGAGAGGGUGAUCGGCCACAUUGGGACUGAGACACGGCCCAAACUCCUACGGGAGGCAGCAGUAGGGAAUCUUCGGCAAUGGACGAAAGUCUGACCGAGCAACGCCGCGUGAGUGAAGAAGGUUUUCGGAUCGUAAAACUCUGUUGUUAGAGAAGAACAAGGAUGAGAGUAAAAUGUUCAUCCCUUGACGGUAUCUAACCAGAAAGCCACGGCUAACUACGUGCCAGCAGCCGCGGUAAUACGUAGGUGGCAAGCGUUGUCCGGAUUUAUUGGGCGUAAAGCGAGCGCAGGCGGUUUCUUAAGUCUGAUGUGAAAGCCCCCGGCUCAACCGGGGAGGGUCAUUGGAAACUGGGAAACUUGAGUGCAGAAGAGGAGAGUGGAAUUCCAUGUGUAGCGGUGAAAUGCGUAGAUAUAUGGAGGAACACCAGUGGCGAAGGCGGCUCUCUGGUCUGUAACUGACGCUGAGGCUCGAAAGCGUGGGGAGCAAACAGGAUUAGAUACCCUGGUAGUCCACGCC